rnacentral:rRNA from 1 species
GCUGGUCUGAAAGGACGGUCAGCCACACUGGGACUGAGACAAGGCCCAGGCUUCAAACCGAAGCCAGCAGUGAGGAAUUUUGGACAAUGAGCGAAAGCUUGAUCCAGCAAUACUACGUGGGGGAAGAAGGCUCAAUUGGUCGUAAACCCCUUUCAUUAGGGAGGAUAAAGACAGUACCUAAAGAAGAAGCUCCGGCCAACUUCGUGCCAGCCGCCGCGGUAAUACGAAGGGAGCGAGCGUUAUCCGGAUUGAUUGGGCGUAAAGGGUCCGUAGGCGGCCUUGAGUAGUCAAAAGUAAAAGGUUAAAGCUCAACUUUAAAAUUGCUUUUAAAAAAAACGUCAAGGCUUGAGUUUGAAAGAGGAUAGCAGAAUUUUAUAUGGAGGGGUGAAAUCCUAAGAUAUAUGAAGGAAUACCAACGGCGAAGGCAGCUAUCUGGGUCAAUACUGACGCUGAGGGACGAAAGCACGGGUAGCAAAAAGGAUUUGAUACCCUCUUAGUCCGUGCCGUAAACGAUGAGUGCUCGUGCUCAGACGUAAGAUUUGGGCACUUAGGUAACCCAUUAAGCACUCCGCCUGAGAAGUACGAUCGCAAGAUUGGAACUCAAAGGAAUUGGCGGGGGUUCAUACAAGUGGUGGAACAUGUGGUUUAAUGCGAUAAUCCGCGCGAAACCUUACCAGUUCUAGACAUUUUCUUUUUUUUUAAGAUUAAAAAGAUAAUCAGGUGUUGCAUGGCUGUCGUCAGCUCGUGUUGUGAAAUGUUUGGUUAAGUCCUUUAACGAGCGCAACCCUUGUACUUAGUUGACUUCGGUGACUCUAAGUAGACUGCCCACUAGGAUAGUGGGAGAAAGGUAAGGAUGACGUCAAGUCCUCAUGGCCCUUAUGAACUGGGCUACACACGUGUUACAAUGGUAAGAACAAUGAGAAGCGAUCUUGUAAAAGUGAGCAAACCUAUAAAUCUUAUCUUAGUUCGGAUUGUGGGCUGCAACUCGCCCACAUGAAGUUGGAAUCA